UUUAUAAUCCCUUUCAUGUCUUUGAAGUUGAAUUUAUAGAAUAGCAACGUGAAAUAGAGCACACUGGAGAACUGGAGUGGAGAUGAGUGCCCUCGGUAGGGUCACACGGGCAAAACACGAAGGGAAUGUUAAACACAAGUACCCUGCGCAGCACUGACCACGGCCAACAAGAUCCCACCACACAUUCUGCUAACGUGCUGUGACCACUCUCUCGCUGAUGAGGUGACUUCUGGGAGAUGCGUUUGCCACACGCAAAUUUAAUCACAGCACUGGACCGUUUCAGCCUCAGAGUAAAAAGGCUGCGUGAAAGCACCUGUUGAUGUGAUAAAGGGGUGGAGAGCGAAGGUUAAGAUGAGCACUUGCUUCUGAUUUGAUUGAGGGGGGUUCCAGUUCUUCACAGCAGCUCCUCCUCAGCUCAGCCAUGCGGGAUCAUCAAAGACUCUCCGCUUUGAUCCACUCUUCAAAAGCCUUCACUGGCCUCUUGUCAGUGUCUGCUCUGCUGGUAGUUUAGGCUCUGUGCCACCGCUGUUAAAAUAGCCCAAUUAAUUCACCACACUCUCCAUAUUGAGUUCAUGUUGUCAGUGGUUGAAAAAAAAGAAAUUCCGUAAUGCAGAUUUUGUAUUAAUUCAGAAAAAUGUGGGGAAUUACUUGCACUUGAUGAUGUCAUGAUCCAAUUGUUUUUUCCCUCUACAUUCUUAAAAAUAAA